UGGCCAAGACCUCAUCCUUCAGGUGCAGCC
rnacentral:piRNA from 1 species